CCUACGGGUGGCAGCAGUGAGGAAUAUUGGUCAAUGGGCGGAAGCCUGAACCAGCCAAGUAGCGUGCAGGAUGACGGCCCUACGGGUUGUAAACUGCUUUUAUACGGGAAUAACGCGCCUUACGUGUAGGGCUUUGCAUGUACCGUAUGAAUAAGGACAGACUAACUAUGUGCCAGCACCCGCGGUAAUACAUAGGAUGCAAGCGUUAUCCGGAUUUACUGGGCGUAAAACGAGCGCAGGCGGGUUAACAAGUUUGGUAUGAAAGGCUUUUGCUUAACGAAAGUUUGUAUCAAAAACUGUUAAUCUAGAGUGUAGUAGAGAGUGCUGGAAUUCCAUGUGGAGCGGUGGAAUGCGUAGAUAUAUGGAAGAACACCAGUGGCGAAGGCGAGAACUUAGGCUAUCACUGACGCUGAGGCUCGAAAGUGUGGGGAGCAAAUAGGAUUAGAUACCCGUGUAGUC
rnacentral:rRNA from 1 species